rnacentral:rRNA from 1 species
CCAAUAGCCGGAACCCCUAAUACCACAGAUUAGCCUCUCCGAUGAUGCUCUGACGAUGCUCCGGUGAUGGUGCCCCAAGUGAAAAAAAUGCGGCACCAGCACAUGCCCAAGCCCAGUAUUUGCACCAUGGCUCAAACUCUUAGACUGGGAAUGAACUCCGUAUGCUUAGACAUGGAAUGAACUCCGUAUGCCUAAGCCAACCCACGAAACGAGUGUGCGGGCGCUCAGCUGGCCGGAGAGGUAGAAUGCGCAAGCCGGGAAUCGGCCCGAUCCACCUCUGUGUGCUACCGGUCCCGCUACCACAACCCUCAGUCCGACUGUGGCUUAGACAUGGAAUGAACUCCCUAUGCCUAAGCCGACCCACGAAACAGGCGUGCGGGCGUUCAGCCGACCAGAGAGGCAGAAUGCGCAAGCUGGGGAUCAGCCCGAUCCCCCCUGCGUGCUACCGAUCCUGCUGCCGCAACCCUCAAUCCGAUCCGAUCUCAGAUUGUGAAUGAACUCCGUAUGCUUAGAUUGAGGAUGAACUCCGUAUGCCUAAGUCAAUCCAUGAAACGAGCGUACGAGCACUCAACCGGCCAGAGAGGCAGAAUGCGUAAGCUGGGGAUCGGCUCGAUCCCCCCUACGUGCGUUCGAUCCUGCUGCUGGUCCUACUACCGUAACCCUUGGUCCGAUCCGAUCUUAGACUGGGAAUGAACUUCGUAUGCCUAAGUCAACCCAUAAAACGUUCGUGUGGGCGCUCAACCAGCUGGAGAGGUAGAAUGCGCAAGCUAGGGAUCGGCCCCGGUCCCCCCUGCGUGCUGUCAAUCCUGCUGACGCAACCCUCGGUCUGCUAAAUUGGUGAUACAAGAUGAACUAGAAGCCAAGUUAUGGUGCCUAAUUGUGCUCUAACCUAAAACCCAUAAGGGGUGUUGGUCGAUUAAGAUAGCAUGAUGGUGGUCAUAGAAGUCAAAAUCCACUAAGGAAUGUGAAACAUGUCAUCUACUGAAUCAACUAACCCAAAAAAUGGAUGGCGCUUAAGCAUGCUACCUAUACCCAACUAUUAGGGCAAGGGCCAAGCCUCGAUGAGUAGGAUGACAUAACAGUCAUCGCAAAACCUAGGUGUGAACCUAGGUGGAGUGACCAUCGAUGCUGAUCUUGGUGGUAGUAGCCAAUAUUCAAAUGAAAACUUUGAAAGCCAAAGAGGGGAAAGGUUCCAUGUGAAUGGCACUUGCACAUGGGUUAGUCGAUCCUAAGAGACAAGGGAAGCUCGUCUGAUAGCAUGUCUAGCAUGAGUUUUAAAAGCGAUUUAGGUUAAAAUUCCUUAAUCAGGAUGCAGUAGCUAACGACAACAUUAGGGAGUUUGAAGAAGUCGAUAGGGGCCUUAGGGAGAGUUAUCUUUUUUGUUUAAUAGCCUACCUACCCUGGAAAUGGCUUAGUUGGAGGUAGGGUCCAACGACCAAAAGAGCACCACACAUAUUAUGGUGUCAAGUGUUCCCUUGGUGGCUCUUGAAAAUCUAGAGGACCAAGUGCCAUCCAUGCCUAAUCAAACUUAUAACUGCAUCAGGUCUCUAAGGUGAAUAGCUUCUAGUCGAUGGAGCAAUAUAGGCAAAAGAAGUCGUAAAAUAGAUCCAUAACCUUGGGAAAAGGAUUGGCUCUAAGGGUUAGGCACGAGGGUCCCAAUCUUAAACCCAUCAGCUACCAAUACACUAGUCAAUCUACUCUUAUAGUGAGAGCAGGUUGCCAUGCACUGGUUAAAGGAACUAGGAAUUGCUCUCUCGAAGGCUUUUCCUAGGCAAGAGUAGUCAAAUUAGAACUGGUAUAGACAAAGGGAAUCCAACUAUUUAAUUAAAACAAAUCAAUGCAAUGGUUUCUGCAUAUGCUCACAUAAUGUGAUUUCUAUCCAGUGCUCUAAAUGUCAGAGUGAAGAAAUUCAAACAAGCAUGGGUAAACGACAAGUGUAACUAUGACCCCUUUAAUGUAGCCAAAUGCCCCAUCAUCUAAUUAGUGUUUCACAUUAAUGGAUUAAUGAGAUUCCCACUAUCCCUAUCUACUAUCAAUCAAAACCAUAGCCAAGGGAAUAGGCUUGGAAGAAUUAGUGGAGAAAGAAAACCUUGUUGAGCUUGACUAUAGUUUAACUUUGGGAAAUGACUUAAGAGGUGUAAGAUAAAUGGGAGGCCUCGAGUGAAAUUGAAAUACCGCUACUUUUAAUGUUAUUUUACUUAUUCCAUGAAUUAGAGGUGAGGCAUGACCCCUUCUUUUGGACCCAAGGCUAGCCUUGGUCAAUCAAUAUGGGUAGAAGACAUUGUCAAGUGGGGAUUUUGGCUAGGGUAGCACAUCUGUUAAAAGAUAACGUAGGUGUCCCAAGAUGAGCUUAUUAAGAACAAAAAUCUCACAUGGAACAAAAGGAUAAAGGCUCAUUUGAUUCUAAUUUCUAGUAUAAAAAUGAACCAUGAAAGCAUGGAUUAUAGAUCCUUUAGACCUUCAAAAUUUGAAGCUAGAGGUGUCAAAAAAGCUACCAUAAGGAUAACUAGCUUAUGGUAGCCAAGCAUUCAUAACAAUGUUACUUUUUGAUCCUUUGAUGCUAGCUCUUCUUAUCAUUGUGAAGCAGAAUUCACCAAGUGUUGGAUUGUUCACCCACCACUACGGAAUGUGAGCUGGGUUUAGACUAUCAUGAGGUAAGUUAAUUUUACCCUACUAAUGGCAGCAUCAUGAUAGUAAUUCAACCUAGUAUGAGAAGAACCGUUGAUUUACACAAUUAAUCAUUGUGCUUGGUUAAAGAGCUAGUGGCACAAAGCUACCAUGCAUUGGAUUAUUAUUGAAUGACUCUAAGUCAAAAUCCAAGCUAGAAGUGACACAUGUGCCCAUCACUCGAUUUUUGACCUAUCAUAGGGGCACAUGCUAUUCCUUUGUGCGAGCAGUUCCUUUAAACACCAUCAACACAUGUUGGGUUGCACAACAUGCACCCCAUGAUCUAGUGGUAAAUGGGUUCAGGCACAUCUACUAUGCCAAUGCCAUUUUUAUGGCUUUUAAAUU